CAGGAUUAGAUACCCUGGUAGUCACGCUGUAAACGAUGUCGAUUUGGAGUUUGUUGCCUAGAGUGAUGGGCUCCGAAGCUAACGCGAUAAAUCGACCGCCUGGGGAGUACGGCCGCAAGGUUAAAACUCAAAUGAAUUGACGGGGGCCCGCACAAGCGGUGGAGCAUGUGGUUUAAUUCGAUGCAACGCGAAGAACCUUACCUGGUCUUGACAUCCAUAGAAUUCUGCAGAGAUGUGGGAGUGCCUUCGGGAACUAUGAGACAGGUGCUGCAUGGCUGUCGUCAGCUCGUGUUGUGAAAUGUUGGGUUAAGUCCCGCAACGAGCGCAACCCUUAUUCUUUGUUGCCAGCGAUUUGGUCGGGAACUCAAAGGAGACUGCCGUUGAUAAAGCGGAGGAAGGUGGGGACGACGUCAAGUCAUCAUGGCCCUUACGACCAGGGCUACACACGUGCUACAAUGGCGUAUACAAAGGGAAGCGAAGGUGCGAGCUGGAGCGGAUCUCAUAAAGUACGUCUAAGUUCGGAUUGGAGUCUGCAACUCGACUCCAUGAAGUCGGAAUCGCUAGUAAUCGUAGAUCAGAAUGCUACGGUGAAUACGUUCCCGGGCCUUGUACACACCGCCCGUCACACCAUGGGAGUGGGUUGCACCAGAAGUAGAUAGCUUAACCGCGAGGGGGGCGUUUACCACGGUGUGAUUCAUGACUGGGGUGAAGUCGUAACAAGGUAACCA
rnacentral:rRNA from 1 species